GCUCGCUCGAGCUCGGCGCGGACCCGCCCGGGAGCGCUCCUCGCAGCAGCUGCCCGGGUUCCCACCGCCCUACCGGGCGCGAGCGAUCAGACUACCUCGGAGGGCGCGCUCAGACACCCAGAUGUCCGGCCACCUCAGUGGGUACCCUCGGCACCCUGUGAUCCGACCACCCGCGGAGGCGCGCUAGCCCUCUGGGUGGGCGUGCUGGGCUUCUCUGCGGCGGAAGUCUGGACCACAGAUUGUGACUUCUUUUCUAGCAGUAGGUGUUGACUGGUCCGACUGCUGCCCUUCUGCCCAAGAGUAGUUCAAACUGAAGGGAAGAAAACAUAUGUGCUGCUUGGUCUGCCAUCUUAAACCAGAAGUCUGAAAUACGGGUCUGAAUGCUGCUCGCAAGGAUAUCUUACAUUGAGGAUAGCAGGCACCAGAGACUCUGUACCAUAAACAUUUCCACAAGAAACGGCCUCUAACUGAACCUGGAACUCACUGACUGAACUCGAGUUGCUGUUGAGAAAGCCCCAGGGACUGUUUGGUCUUCUCCCGCUCAAAAUUUGCGAUGCAGUGCCUCCUCAGGCCCAUCAAAGUCUUCCAGGAUCACGCAGAGGACCAUGCCACAGUCGGAAGUGAGGUAAACAAGUCUCCUCAUUGCUAUAUUUUGUAAUUAUCAGACAAGAGAGUGGAGUUCCCGCCUGAAGCCCCUCAGGCCUGUGUGAAGCUUAACCAUGUAUGUACUCAAUGUAGGUGUGAUCAGUUUUCAGAUCCAUGCAAAUGUGAGCUGACUUUCCCCUGAUGUUUGCUGAGUGCAUGCCAACAGCAUUCUGCAUGGCUAACCUGCCUCAGCAACCAAAUCCCUGGAACUGUCAUAUGCAGAGGGUCUGUGGUGUGGCCAUUUUAUAAAUGAGCCACGGGAAGGCCAGAGAAAGAAACAGCAUGCUCCAAGUCAGAGCAGAAGGCAGCUUCCCUAGGAUCUGUUUAAUGUUUGCUUCUUUACAACACAGGAUCUCGUGAAACCCAAGCUAGCCUCAGACUCAACUGCAUAGCUGAGGAUACCCUUGAACUUGAUUCUCUAAUAUUUCUACCUCAUACCCAGUUCAUGAGGUAAUGCGGAUAGAACCCAGGGCUUCCUGAAUACUAGGAAGGCACUCUACCAACUGAGCUACAUCCCCAGAUCCUCCUCUGGGGAUAAGCCCAGGUUCAAAUCCAAGGCCUUAACAACAUCGGGACACGGACAUAAGACACAGCACUCUACUGGACCUGGGCAUGCUCCUACCCUGUCUAGUGAUCGCAAAAGCCAUCUUUUUAACAGCCCGCGUUAUGAUUCUACCAUCAGACCAGAGAGGCCCUAGAUAGCCCAGCUUCCCAUUGUAAGUCAUCUUCGACAUGUUUAACCGAUGGCUGUGUGGGACUGCUAGAAAGUUUGGAAAUCACCAAGCGCUUUGACUUUCCUGCCCACAAAAACAGUUGGCCUUGGCAGAUGUCCAACGCGUUGACCUUAGAUCCAUUUAAUGAAAACCCUAUUAAUUCAAAAAGAAAGAAAGAAAAUAAGGCAAAAUAGGACAGGCAGUAGAAAGAUCUUUACAAAAAUCUUGUGUGCCCUUCCUCCACUGUUGCCUUGACCAGACAGGGCCACAAAGCUGAUACGACAGGAUUAGGACAAUUGCUUUGUUAACACACAAGCACAGCGUGACAUGAACUCCAGGAAAGGCAUUUGGCAGGAUUAACCUGCUGAGGAUAAAGAUGUAGCAGACGGGACCUGAAUUAAUGGACUGGUAUGGCCAAAGUGGAGAAAUCUAUUUGCAUGUAAUAUUAACUGUACUAAUAAACUCCAGGCGGGGAUCCAACAGCCCGGGAGCCUCUUUGAACCAGGACUUGAUCCCUGUACAUCCUAUCUCUGCUAAGAUGUGUGAGUGUAAGCCGGCUGCCUGCAGAUUACCACUCUGUCCUUGGUGCCUGCAAUAGCACAAGCCCUUUACUGACUGCAACUCAAGCAGAUCCCACUUACAAUAUUAUUUACAACCUAUGGAAAAGCAAUGAAGAAAUGCAGGUUCAACACAUGUAGAAAAUAUCCACCAGGGCCUGGAGAGAUGGCUCAGUAAUUAAGAGCCCUGGCUAUUCCUCCAGAGGACCCGGGUUCAAUUUGUAGCAUCCAUGGGGCAGCUAAGAGUCAUCUAAAGCCCAUCUGAAGCCCUCUUCUGACAUCUGCAGGCAUGGUGCAUACAUGGUACAUACACACACAUGCAAAACACAUAAAAUAAAAAAAUAUAAAAUUUAAGAAGAAAAUGCCUACCUGACCCAGGCUGUUGGCCUGACUUGUAUAUUCUGAUUCCUUGAAAGUCUGUGUGGGGCUAGGGUGAGCAAGCAGACACCUGGGAUGUGACAUUUCAAGGAGGUACCACAGUCUGGCUCAGUCUCAGAACAAGGUGAGUGCCUAAAGAUUCAUGCAUUGCCCCUCAGACUGCCCUACUGCAGGUUACCAUAGGAACAGUAUAAUCUAUACCCAUUCAAAAUCAAUACACUUACAACAGAUAGCUGGAUGUUGGGCGGUGUGGUGGAGGAGAAGAAUGUAGGUGGGUGGGGACCUCUGAGGGGUCCUAUAAAAUACAUCUCAGAUCAUUGCAAUCAAAGAGCAAGAGAGCCUGGUAUUUAUCUACCAGCUCUUUACUGUAUCUGGCUCAGAGAGUAAUUCCCCACCAUGCAGACUAGACAUUCUCCCCCAAAGAAGCUAGGGAACCUAGAGCAACAGCCUAUGUACAAGAAUGCCUAGGCCAUAUGGAGUGUAAAAAGGUGUGAGUCAGGGUAUGAGUGACACCCACUUAAAGUUCUUGUGUACUUCAACAAAGAACUGGACUAGGAACACUGAAUAAAGAUUG
ensembl:lincRNA 9530059O14Rik RIKEN cDNA 9530059O14 gene